rnacentral:rRNA from 1 species
CCUAACCUACGGGAGGCAGCAGUGGGGAAUAUUGCACAAUGGGGGAAACCCUGAUGCAGCGACGCCGCGUGAGCGAAGAAGUAUCUCGGUAUGUAAAGCUCUAUCAGCAGGGAAGAAAAUGACGGUACCUGACUAAGAAGCCCCGGCUAACUACGUGCCAGCAGCCGCGGUAAUACGUAGGGGGCAAGCGUUAUCCGGAUUUACUGGGUGUAAAGGGAGCGUAGACGGAGGAGCAAGUCUGAUGUGAACAUCCGGGGCCCAACCCCGGAACAGCAUUGGAAACUGUUUAUCUAGAGUGUCGGAGG